rnacentral:rRNA from 1 species
GACGAACGCUGGCGGCGUGCUUAACACAUGCAAGUCGAACGGAAAGGCCCUGCUUUUGUGGGGUGCUCGAGUGGCGAACGGGUGAGUAACACGUGAGUAACCUGCCCUUGACUUUGGGAUAACUUCAGGAAACUGGGGCUAAUACCGGAUAGGAGCUCCUGCUGCAUGGUGGGGGUUGGAAAGUUUCGGCGGUUGGGGAUGGACUCGCGGCUUAUCAGCUUGUUGGUGGGGUAGUGGCUUACCAAGGUUUUGACGGGUAGCCGGCCUGGGAGGGUGACCGGCCACAUUGGGACUGAGGUACGGCCCAGACGCCUACGGGAGGCAGCGGUGGGGAGUAUUGCACAGUGGGCGGAAGCCUGAUGCAGCAACGCCGCGUGCGGGAUGACGGCCUUCGGGUUGUAAACCGCUUUCGCCUGUGACGAAGCGUGAGUGACGGUAAUGGGUAAAGAAGCACCGGCUAACUACGUG